rnacentral:rRNA from 1 species
UCAAUCUCGUGCGGCUAGAAGCCGCCUGUCCCUCUAAGAAGAAUGUGUUGUACGCCGACAGCAAAAACCGCGGACAACCGCGACGCGAGCGACGCGGCAGCCGGGCCUUUCGGAUGUCGAAAAUACGCCUAGUUAGCAGGCUAGAGUCUCGUUCGUUAU